AUUUAUAUAAUAAACAUGGUGAAACGUAUUUUUUUUAUUUCAGUAGAAACUAGAAUUGCCUAGAAAAUGUCUAAAAAAGGACCUCCCUCUACAUCACUUCACAAGGUGAUAAUGGUCGGAAGUGGUGGUGUAGGGAAAUCAGCAUUAACUCUUCAGUUCAUGUAUGACGAGUUCGUGGAGGAUUACGAGCCCACAAAGGCCGAUUCCUACAGGAAGAAGGUCGUCUUAGACGGAGAAGAGGUACAGAUAGAUAUUCUGGACACAGCAGGCCAGGAAGAUUACGCUGCGAUUAGAGACAAUUAUUUCAGGAGUGGGGAGGGAUUUCUCUGUGUGUUUAGUAUAACAGAGGAGGAUUCAUUUCAAUCCACUCAGGAAUUUCGAGAACAAAUCCUGCGAGUCAAACAAGAUUCCAACAUUCCUUUCAUUCUCGUCGGAAACAAGGCCGACUUGACUAACAGUCGUCACGUACAGCUGAGUACGGCUAAGGGAAAAGCAGAUGAAUGGCAGGUUCCUUACGUUGAAACAUCGGCCAAGACGAGAGAGAACGUCGACAAAGUGUUCUACGAUCUUAUGCGAGAAAUCAGAAGUAGAAAAGUAUCCGAUGAAUCCCCGCAGCCAGGCAAGGUUGGGAAAAAGAAGAAGAAAUGCACAAUCCUCUAAACUCAUCAUCCAAACUGUCAAACAGCUGAAUUCUUUAUAAUUGCCCCUUUUUAUUCGAAAAAUAUUAAGGACGAUUUUAUUGUCUAAAAAGACACUGUACGUCAUUCCUCAUUAUUUUAAAGGAACUCUAAGCGGUCACUUGAAAUUACGAUUACAGUCCUUUUAAUCUGCGCAAACUUAGGUAGGGUCAUAGGGUUGGGAGGAUGGGGCAAAUUUCUAUCAAUUUAACUCUUUGUCUAGUCAUUAGAUAUCUUAGAAUCCUUUCAUACUCAAUUUUUUACCAAUAAACGCUUGCUUACAUCCUCCACCCUUUGCCCUCAUAUUAGUUAUUUAUUGUACAAAACGUAUUUGAUUAAAUGUAUUAAUUCUGGUUUUAUUUUUGUAUUGAAACUUGGUUUUAUUUAUUAUGACAAUGAUUUUUUUUGAGAAUGAUGAUAACCAUUUACCAGUAUAUUAUAUCUAUUGAUCGAAGAUCCGAAUGGAUGAGCGAUUUUUACUUGAAAUCCGGUUUUAAACCUUGCUCAGUAUAUUUAACAAUUUCUUAAACCACUUAAUGAAGCUAAGAUUAUUCUUUAUAAGUUAUGAUUGAUUUUUUACUGUUUUUUCUAUUAAUAAACCCUCUUUAUUUUAAAGAUCAAGGGUUUUUAACUUUUUCAGAAAUACCCCCCCCCCCCAUGGAGAAGGAAUUUUAUGAUUUUUAUUGAUGGGGGGGGGGGUUAUGAAAAACUGAACAUCUAAAGGUAAGAUUUUUCUUUCUUUAUGAUACUUUUCACCCAUAAAUUCAUUUAUUUUCCCCAUUUCAGCAAACAAAAACUAUACCCCCUGUAAAAAAAGUUUUGCACUGCUUCUGAUGUAAAAUAUUUUUCAUGAUUCCCUAAAUCCCAAUUUAAAAAGGCAUUUUUUUUACAAGAAGAAUCACUAAAGUUUGCGUUUCUAAAAAUCCUUGAACGUUAGCUUGUAUUGAAAAAAAUGGGGUUAAAUCUCUUAUUUAGAACUUUUUCCAAAAAUUCUUUUCUGUAAAUUCCAAAUGACGUUAAGAUCAGAAUUUGUUAGUGUAAGUGUCAUUUUUUCCUGCACUAUAAACUUUCUCGAAUCUUUCAAUAAUAAUUUGUCCUGAAGUUCAGUUUCCGAGUUGUUUCCAUUUUUAGCAUGAACGACUGUUAAACAUAAUUUUAAGUUACCCUCCAUGAAUAGAGCGGCAUUUCAGAUUCACAACGUUACCCAUAAAAGCUUUAUCUGAUCAAGUAUGAAUUUUUGCUUCAGAAAUAAAUGGAGAAAUUAUUAGAUCUAAACUCUGUUCAAGCUAAAAAUUGACGUUCUCUUCCACACUAUUGAUCAGAUUACGGUUUCUAAGGUACCAUUGUGAAUCAGGCAUACCCUCUUUAAAUGGAAUUUUUCUUAAAAUUACAACUACAAUCACUUAAAGUGUUGUUUUUGUAUGUGCUAAAAUUGAAAAAUAUCCUUAUUUAGUUGAUUACGUAUUGAUUUGUAAGUAUGUUAAUAUGUUAUAUGUUUUAGUGAUGAUACUAUCUGUUUUAUUGCUUAGCAUUUUACUGUUCUGUAUAAACAAUGAUAACAAAAUAUUGAUUUUAAAUUUAGGAAAUUUAAUUUGAAGAUUUUAAAAAAUUAACUUAAGAAGAAAGUGGCAUAAGAAAAUGAAUGAAAGAGAAAGGGAAUGAAUAAGGUGUUGAGGUGCUCUGCAUUAAUAUAAUGUAAAUCAAAAAAUAACAUUAAAUGUAUUUCAAUAAGACCUAAUAUCUUAAUAAUCAAAUCUUGCCAAGAUAGA